CCCCUAGAUGUUCUGGGCCGCACGCGCGCUACACUGAACAGUUCAACAAGUCUUAACCUUGGCCGAUAGGUCUGGGUAAUCUUUGAACGCUGUUCGUGAUUGGGAUAGACCUUUGCAAUUAUGGGUCUUCAACGAGGAAUUCCUAGUAAACGCAAGUCAUCAGCUUGCAUUGAUUACGUCCCUGCCCUUUGUACACACCGCCCGUCGCACCUACCAAUUGAAUGGUCCGGUGAAAUCUCGGGACGGCGGCUUGGUCGCUUGCGUCCGACUGCUGAAACUUGAUUAAACCAUNUNAUUUAUNGGAAGGUGAANUCGUANCA
rnacentral:rRNA from 1 species